CCUACGGGUGGCAGCAGUGGGGAAUAUUGGGCAAUGGGCGCAAGCCUGACCCAGCAACGCCGCGUGAAGGAAGAAGGCUUUCGGGUUGUAAACUUCUUUUCUCAGGGACGAAGCAAGUGACGGUACCUGAGGAAUAAGCCACGGCUAACUACGUGCCAGCAGCCGCGGUAAUAAGUAGGGGGCAAGCGUGGUACGGAUUUACUGGGUGUAAAGGGCGUGGAGCCGGAGAGACAAGUCAGAUGUGAAAUCCACGGGCUCAACCCGUUAACUGCAUUUGAAACUGUUUCCCUUGAGUGUCGGAGAGGUAAUCGGAAUUCCUUGUGUAGCGGUGAAAUGCGUAGAUAGAAGGAAGAACACCAGUGGCGAAGGCGGAUUACUGGACGAUAACUGACGGUGAGGCGCGAAAGCGUGGGGAGCAAACAGGAUUAGAUACCCGGGUAGUC
rnacentral:rRNA from 1 species